rnacentral:misc_RNA from 1 species
UACGAAGGGGGCAAGCGUUGUCCGGAAUCAUUGGGCGUAAAGCGCGUGUAGGCGGUCCGGUAAGUCCGCUGUGAAAGUCGGGGGCUCAACCCUCGAAAGCCGGUGGAUACUGUUGGACUAGAGUACGGAAGAGGCGAGUGGAAUUCCUGGUGUAGCGGUGAAAUGCGCAGAUAUCAGGAGGAACACCAAUUGCGAAGGCAGCUCGCUGGGACGUCACUGACGCUGAGACGCGAAAGCGUGGGGAGCAAACGGG